rnacentral:rRNA from 1 species
UACAGAGGGGGCAAGCGUUAUUCGGAAUUAUUGGGCGUAAAGGGCGCGUAGGCGGCUUGGCAAGUGGAUGGUGAAAUCCCUCGGCUUAACCGAGGAACUGCCAUCCAGACUGCUUUGCUUGAGGCCGGGAGAGGUGAGUGGAAUUCCCAGUGUAGCGGUGAAAUGCGUAGAUAUUGGGAGGAACACCAGUGGCGAAGGCGGCUCACUGGACCGGUUCUGACGCUGAGGUGCGAAAGCGUGGGGAGCAAACAGG